GAUGAACGCUGGCGGCGUGCCUAAUACAUGCAAGUCGAGCGAACAGGUAAGGAGCUUGCUCCUUUGACGUUAGCGGCGGACGGGUGAGUAACACGUGGGUAACCUACCUAUAAGACUGGGAUAACUUCGGGAAACCGGAGCUAAUACCGGAUAACAUUUGGAACCGCAUGGUUCUAAAGUGAAAGAUGGUUUUGCUAUCACUUAUAGAUGGACCCGCGCCGUAUUAGCUAGUUGGUAAGGUAACGGCUUACCAAGGCAACGAUACGUAGCCGACCUGAGAGGGUGAUCGGCCACACUGGAACUGAGACACGGUCCAGACUCCUACGGGAGGCAGCAGUAGGGAAUCUUCCGCAAUGGGCGAAAGCCUGACGGAGCAACGCCGCGUGAGUGAUGAAGGGUUUCGGCUCGUAAAACUCUGUUAUUAGGGAAGAACAAACGUGUAAGUAACUGUGCACGUCUUGACGGUACCUAAUCAGAAAGCCACGGCUAACUACGUG
rnacentral:rRNA from 1 species